GAUGAACGCUGGCGGCGUGCCUAAUACAUGCAAGUCGAACGGACGGACGAUAAGCUUGCUUCUCUGAUGUUAGCGGCGGACGGGUGAGUAACACGUGGAUAACCUACCUAUAAUACUGGGAUAACUUCGGGAAACCGUAGCUAAUACCGGAUAAUAUUUUGAACCGCAGGGUUCAAAAGUGAAUGACGGUCUUGCUGUCACUUAUAGAUGGAUCCGCGCUGCAUUGGCUAGUUGGUAAGGUAACGGCUUACCAAGGAUACGAGGCAUAUCCGACCUGAGAGGGUGAUCGGCCACACUGGAACUGAGACACGGUCCAGACUCCUACGGGAGGCAGCAGUAGGGAAUCUUCCGCAAAGGGCGAAAGCCUGACGGAGCAACGCCGCGUGAGUGAUGAAGGCCUUCGGAUCGUAAAGCUCUGUUAUUGGGGAAGAACAGAUGUGGAAUUAACUGUGGACAUCUUGACGGUACCUAAUCAAAAAGCACCGGCUAACUACGUG
rnacentral:rRNA from 1 species